CUUUAUUGGAGAGUUUGAUCUUGGCUCAGGACGAACGCUGGCGGCGUGCCUAAUACAUGCAAGUCGAGCGCGGGAAGCAAACUGAAAUCUUCGGAUGGACGUUUGUGGAACGAGCGGCGGACGGGUGAGUAACACGUGGGCAACCUGCCUGUAAGACCGGGAUAACUCGCGGAAACGCGAGCUAAUACCGGAUAACACUUUUGG
rnacentral:rRNA from 1 species